AUUGAACGCUGGCGGCAGGCCUAACACAUGCAAGUCGAGCGGUAACAGAGAGUAGCUUGCUACUCUGCUGACGAGCGGCGGACGGGUGAGUAAUGCUUGGGAAUAUGCCUUAUGGUGGGGGACAACAGUUGGAAACGACUGCUAAUACCGCAUAAUGUCUACGGACCAAAGUGGGGGACCUUCGGGCCUCACGCCAUAAGAUUAGCCCAAGUGGGAUUAGCUAGUUGGUGAGGUAAUGGCUCACCAAGGCGACGAUCCCUAGCUGGUUUGAGAGGAUGAUCAGCCACACUGGGACUGAGACACGGCCCAGACUCCUACGGGAGGCAGCAGUGGGGAAUAUUGCACAAUGGGCGCAAGCCUGAUGCAGCCAUGCCGCGUGUGUGAAGAAGGCCUUCGGGUUGUAAAGCACUUUCAGUAAGGAGGAAAGGUUAAGUGUUAAUAGCACUUAGCUGUGACGUUACUUACAGAAGAAGCACCGGCUAACUCCGUGCCAGCAGCCGCGGUAAUACGGAGGGUGCGAGCGUUAAUCGGAAUUACUGGGCGUAAAGCGUACGCAGGCGGUUUGUUAAGCGAGAUGUGAAAGCCCCGGGCUCAACCUGGGAACUGCAUUUCGAACUGGCAAACUAGAGUGUGAUAGAGGGUGGUAGAAUUUCAGGUGUAGCGGUGAAAUGCGUAGAGAUCUGAAGGAAUACCGAUGGCGAAGGCAGCCACCUGGGUCAACACUGACGCUCAUGUACGAAAGCGUGGGGAGCAAACAGG
rnacentral:rRNA from 1 species